AUUGAACGCUGGCGGCAGGCCUAACACAUGCGAGUCGAGCGGAUGAAGGGAGCUUGCUCCUGGAUUCAGCGGCGGACGGGUGAGUAAUGCCUAGGAAUCUGCCUGGUAGUGGGGGAUAACGUCCGGAAACGGGCGCUAAUACCGCAUACGUCCUGAGGGAGAAAGUGGGGGAUCUUCGGACCUCACGCUAUCAGAUGAGCCUAGGUCGGAUUAGCUAGUUGGUGGGGUAAAGGCCUACCAAGGCGACGAUCCGUAACUGGUCCGAGAGGAUGAGCAGUCACACUGGAACUGAGACACGGUCCAGACUCCUACGGGAGGCAGCAGUGGGGAAUAUUGGACAAUGGGCGAAAGCCUGAUCCAGCCAUGCCGCGUGUGUGAAGAAGGUCUUCGGAUUGUAAAGCACUUUAAGUUGGGAGGAAGGGCAGUAAGUUAAUACCUUGCUGUUUUGACGUUACCAACAGAAUAAGCACCGGCUAACUUCGUG
rnacentral:rRNA from 1 species